rnacentral:lncRNA from 1 species
UCCAUGAGAAAAAGCAGGUUCCACUCUUCCAGAUCUGGCUAAUGAGAAAGUGCAUGGGAUUGGGACGUACUAGCAAGGGAUUUAUAGAGGGCUAAGCUAAUGAUAGUCAUUUGUUGCCCCAUUCUUCUUUUUGGCCAAUUGACAGUAGCCACGAGAAUGAUAGACAGGCAUUUAAGAGCCCUAAACAUGUUCACAAUUUGCAACAAGUUUUGCCAUACACGAUAGUAUAGCUUGAGUGUACACUUGUUAAUUCUUAGUGGUA